ACGGCUCUCUUCUGUCCAUUCCCAUCCCCUAUGCAGAAGGAUAAUAAUAUUAUUUGUUGUAAACCCCGAAGCCCCUUGUUCUCUCUAGAAAAAUGAGAGACAUCUCUCACUACUCUCAUUUCAAACCUAUUCCUCGUUGCCCUCUUUCUCUCUAAAAAAAUCUGGAAAGGGCUUCUUUUCUCCAUUUCCUCUCAAGUCCAGCGCCCAUUUGUACAAACCUCCUAUAUGCAGCAGUUUCUUCACUCGUUCUGCAACCAAAAACCAAGGAGCAUACACACUUCCGUGUCUCUCUAACCCAUCCAUGGUGGAGUAAGCAUGAAAACUGAGAUGCAUGAAAGACCCCCAGUCGUUGCAAAUCUGAGCUGAUCCACACCACUCGCUUGUCUCUGCUAAAACCUGAAAUCAACCAGCUACGACAUUGUAGAUCCGGGUUUUGCAAAGGUGAAAAUGUUGUUGUCCACCAGUGAGGAGACCCCAUUUCUGAAUGUGCUUCCUCAUCUACCCCCAAACUUAAAUACUGGCAUCUGUGGCAUUUUCAAAUGGAUGACCUCAGAUUGGCAAAGACACAUUUGGCUGACCAAACUACCGGCCUUCAAGGAAGAAUGGUCGCGUAGCAAAAUAGAGAGAUCCUCAGAAAAAUGAGAUUGUAGAAAAGUCCCCUGCAGGGAAGGAACCCACUGCAGAUUUUGUUUCCUGCGUCUCCUCCCUAAAGAUUGCUCAGGUUCUGGAUAAAAUGGAAUCAAUUUUUGUGCUGCUGAUCUAGUUCUGACCAUGCAUAGAUUGUUGUAAUCUGCAGUACUGCUGUAAU